rnacentral:rRNA from 1 species
UACGUAGGGGGCAAGCGUUGUCCGGAUUUAUUGGGCGUAAAGAGCGUGUAGGCGGCCUGGAAGGUCAGCUGUGAAAACUCGAGGCUCAACCUCGAGACGUCGGUUGAAACCACCUGGCUAGAGUCCGGAAGAGGAGUGUGGAAUUCCCGAUGUAGCGGUGAAAUGCGCAGAUAUCGGGAAGAACACCCGUGGCGAAGGCGGCACUCUGGGACGGUACUGACGCUGAGACGCGAAAGCGUGGGGAGCGAACAGG